rnacentral:rRNA from 1 species
GACGAACGCUGGCGGCGUGCUUAACACAUGCAAGUCGAACGGGCCUGUCUUCUUUUUUGGGGGUGGGUUGAGUGGCGAACGGGUGAGUAUCACGUGAGUAACCUGCCCUUCGGUCCUGGAUAACCGCUUGAAAGGGCGGCUAAUACGGGGUGGUCCGGUUGGUCCGCAUGGGCUGGUCGGGAUAGAUUCACUGUUUUUGGUGUUUCGGCGGGGGAUGGGCUCGCGGCCUAUCAGCUUGUUGGUGGGGUGAUGGCCUACCAAGGCGGUGACGGGUAGCCGGCCUGAGAGGGUGGGCGGCCACACUGGGACUGGGAUACGGCCCAGACUCCUGCGGGAGGCAGCAGUGGGGGGUAUUGCACAAUGGGCGGAAGCCUGAUGCAGCGACGUCGCGUGAGGGAUGGAGGCCUUCGGGUUGUGAACCUCUGUUUCCGGUGGUGAAGGCCCUGUCCGUGUGGUGGGGUUGACGGUAGCCGGGGAUGAAGCGCCGGCUAACUACGUG